rnacentral:miRNA from 1 species
AAAACCAGAAUGAAACUUUUGA